UGCAAUACCGAGGCAGGAAAGAAGUAGCAAGGGAGGGAGAAUAAAGAAGGAAUGUAGGACACAGAUGGCGAUAAGAUUUGUUCCAAUCUCUGCAAGACAACAACCCUAAACAUACAGCCAAUGUCAAUAAGAACUAUCUUCAACGUAAAGAAGAACAAGGAGUCCUGGAAGUGAUGAUAUAGCCCCACAGAGCACUGAUCUCAUCAUCGAGUCUGUCUGGGAUUACAUGAAGAGACAGAAGGAUUUGAGCAAGCCUACAUCCACGGAAGAUCUGUGGUUAUUUCUCCAAGGUGUUUGGAACAACCUCCCUGCCGAGUUCCUUCAAAAACUGUGUGCAAGUGUACCUAGAAUUGAUGCUGUUUUGAAGGCAAAGGGGUGGUCACGCCAAAUAUUGAUAUGAUUUAGAUUUCUCUUCUGUUCAUUCA